CUCGAUGAUGUUUGGGGAUGAAGUUUCUGGAAGAUUUCUCACGAAGUGGCCUUCAUAUUUCAAGCAAAAAAGUGUUCACAGAAAGCCAAAGUCUUUCGUCAAGUCCCUGGGUUGGCGUGUUACAAGCUUCUGUUGACCCGGAACAUCCAUCUGUCUUUGGCUCGGAUAGUGACAUUGCAGCUCUUCUGCUGUUGCUGCAUCUGCUGCCCCCCACAUCUAGAGGCCACAAAAAACAGCAAAGAUUAGCUCUGCACAGGCAGCCAAUCAUCUCCUAAGAUUUGUCAAGGAAGGAGUCAGCCUUACUACUUUCCUGAAGCAAGUGGACACCAGACAACCAUUCCUUCUCUGAAUUGGUGAGCAAAAGAAGAACAUUCAGAGGUUAUUCAUUGUUGUGGAUCAGAGAGCUAUCCCCUGUGAUGCUCCAACAUCAGUGGCUGCUUUUGAUGGGCUAUUCAAAGCACACUUUCUCUUCAGCCUGUCA